rnacentral:rRNA from 1 species
AUUGAACGCUGGCGGCAUGCCUUACACAUGCAAGUCGAACGGCAGCGCGGGCUUCGGCCUGGCGGCGAGUGGCGAACGGGUGAGUAAUGCAUCGGAACGUGCCCAGUAGUGGGGGAUAGCCCGGCGAAAGCCGGAUUAAUACCGCAUACGACCUGAGGGUGAAAGCGGGGGACCGAAAGGCCUCGCGCUAUUGGAGCGGCCGAUGUCGGAUUAGCUAGUUGGUGGGGUAAAGGCUUACCAAGGCGACGAUCCGUAGCUGGUCUGAGAGGACGACCAGCCACACUGGGACUGAGACACGGCCCAGACUCCUACGGGAGGCAGCAGUGGGGAAUUUUGGACAAUGGGGGCAACCCUGAUCCAGCCAUGCCGCGUGCGGGAAGAAGGCCUUCGGGUUGUAAACCGCUUUUGUUCGGGAAGAAAUCCUCUGGGCUAAUACCCCGGGGGGAUGACGGUACCGGAAGAAUAAGCACCGGCUAACUACGUG